rnacentral:siRNA from 1 species
GUCGUUGCACUGCCAAAGUCUUC